ACUGGUAGCUAGCUCCCUGAAACUCUCACACGUUUGCCCACUGAAGCUAAGCAGGCCUGUGCCCGGUCAGUACCUGGAUGGGAGACCACAUGUGAAAGCCAGGUUGCAGCUGGAA
rnacentral:rRNA from 1 species